rnacentral:rRNA from 1 species
AGCUCCAAUAGCGUAUACUAAAGUUGUUGCAGUUAAAAAGCUCGUAGUUGAAUUUCUGGACGUGGAAGUCGGUCCGUCCUUAAUUGGAUGUGUACCUGAUUCUCCCGUUCAUCCUCGAGGAGAGCAUAUCUGACAUUAAGUUGCCGGGUAUGGGAUCCUCGUCAUUUACUGUGAGCAAAAUAGAGUGUUCAAAGCAGGCUUAGGCCGUUGAAUACAUUAGCAUGGAAUAAUAAGAUAAGACCUUGGUCUAUUUUGUUGGUUUGCAUUCCAAGGUAAUGAUUAAUAGGGAUAGUUGGGGGUAUUCGUAUUCAAUUGUCAGAGGUGAAAUUCUUGGAUUUAUGGAAGACGAACUACUGCGAAAGCAUUUACCAAGGAUGUUUUCA